rnacentral:tRNA from 1 species
AAGGAAAAGGAACACGUUAGGGUCGUCUUAUUUAGUUUUGAGAGGUCUUGUGGGGCCUUAGCUCAGCUGGGAGAGCGCCUGCUUUGCACGCAGGAGGUCAGCGGUUCGAUCCCGCUAGGCUCCAUUAGGAUAGAUUAAUCCUAAUAACUGUCCAUUGAAAAUUGAAUAUCUAUAUCAAAUUCCACGAUCAAGAAAUUGAUUGUAAGAAUAGUAACAAGAAAUAAACCGAAAACGCUGUAAGUAUUAAAGAGUUUUUACUAGUUCAAAUAUACUAGUAAAAGAUAA